rnacentral:lncRNA from 1 species
CUCUCUCUUUCUCUCCGUCUUUCUCGAUCAAAGCCGUGGACACCAUUCAAUUUUCCGUCGUGAUUGCCCGCCGACGAGAUCACCGGAGGCCAAGGUGAGUCUCCUUCUUCUUUCCCUCUUUCUCCUCCUUCCUCCCAUACCUUUGCUUGAGGUGGCCGGCGACGAGUGUCGUCGAUUUUCGGUCGGAAAAGAGACCCUAUUUUUGAGCCUUUUUUUCCUUGGAUUUUUCGGUGCCGGCGAUCGGAAUCGAUUGCCGGCCAUGUUCCUCCGUGACCGGGGGAAUGGCCCCCCUCUGCCGCC